rnacentral:rRNA from 1 species
GAUACAUAGGCUUCAAGCGUUGUCCGGAUUUAUUGGGCGGAAAGAGUUCGUAUGCGGUCGAGUUAGUCGGGUGUGAAAAUUCUGGGCUCAACCCAGAAACGCCACCCGAUACUGCUUAACUUGAGUUCGAUAGGGGAGUGGGGAAUUCCUAUUGUGGCGGUGAAAUGCGCUGAUAUUAGGAGGAACACCGGUGGCGAAGGCACCGCUCUGGAUCGAUACUGACGCUAAGGAACGAAAGCAUGGGUAGCAAACAGGAUUAGAUACCCUGGUAGGCCAUGCCGUAAACGGUGGGCACUAGGUGUGGGAUUCUAUUAACGAAUUCCGCGCCGUCGCUAACGCAUUAAGUGCCCCGCCUG